GUUAGCUUUGGCCCGGGCAGGACGCCCUAUAUGGGGUGUCACUUAGUGGCUGCGGGUUGGGUGCCUGUCUGCCUGCGGGGCUACCUGGUCGGCUGCACCCAGUACUACAGCAGCCCCUGCAUGCUGGCCUACCCCGUGAAGCCGGUGUCUCUGACGGACUGGAUCCUCGCAUAGAGCCUUAUCUGCUGGAGGGGCUGCCCAGGUGUUCCCACUCUGGGCAGGUGUGGUGGAAACCACUGUGCUGGUCAGUGCCAACCAGGGGUCGGGACUGUGAGUGCUCCAGAGCCGGCUUCUGGAGACACAUACUCAGUAGGAAAGGGCCCAGGUGCAGACGACUACCCGUUAUAGAUGACUUUGAACACUGUUGUUUAGCUCCGGACCUGCGGACAACAAAGUAAGAGUAGAAAAUUCCCCAGCUGCUUCCUCUCCCAAGACCCGGGCCAUAAAUCUCUCCACCUCUCACCUGGACAGUGAGACUUCUCAGGGCCCCAAGUGGUGGCCCCCUUGAACCUCACUUGGGAGCUCAGGAUGCUGUGAUCCAUUUCUCUGCUCUCCCUCCCCUCCCGGAACUCUGAAACAAACCCUAGAAGCUGGUUUCUACCUUUGCUUGCUUUCUUUCUUUCUGUUGCCAAAUCAACCUGGGGACUGGUAACAGCCCUGGGGACUGUCCACCGGGAAGGUAGACAGUCAGAACUCUGGCAUGAUGAAGAAGACACUCAAGUGCUGA